rnacentral:rRNA from 1 species
UCCUACGGGAGGCAGCAGUGGGGAAUAUUGCACAAUGGGCGCAAGCCUGAUGCAGCCAUGCCGCGUGUGUGAAGAAGGCUUUCGGGUUGUAAAGCACUUUCAGUUGUGAGGAAAGGUUAGUAGUUAAUACCUGCUAGCUGUGACGUUAGCAACAGAAGAAGCACCGGCUAACUCCGUGCCAGCAGCCGCGGUAAUACGGAGGGUGCGAGCGUUAAUCGGAAUUACUGGGCGUAAAGCGCACGCAGGCGGUUUGUUAAGCUAGAUGUGAAAGCCCCGAGCUCAACUUGGGAUGGUCAUUUAGAACUGGCAGACCAGAGUCUUGGAGAGGGGAGUGGAAUUUCUAGUGUAGCGGUGAAAUGCGUAGAUAUUAGAAGGAACAUCAGUGGCGAAGGCGACUCCCUGGCCAAAGACUGACGCUCAUGUGCGAAAGUGUGGGUAGCGAACAGGAUUAGAUACCCUGGUAGUCCACACCGUAAACGCUGUCUACUAGCUGUUUGUGAGUUUAACUCGUGAGUAGCGAAGCUAACGCGCUAAGUAGACCGCCUGGGGAGUACGGCCGCAAGGUUAAAACUCAAAUGAAUUGACGG